UAUCCUGUUUGUCAUCGAAAUUACAUAAAAGGAAUUCGUCAGAUGUCCCAUCGUCAUACCUGUGGUAUGCAUACAUAUGUACUACAUUUACCACUGGGUUAACGAGUCGCUCGUGUGCAAUUUAUAUAACUUCAUCACGUUAAAGAAAAGGAUUCGAACCGUAGCAUUAAGGGGCAAGCUUUUGUCAUGUUAACACAAACGAUUCUGAAUUCCAUAAAGAAAUGCUCCCAGCUUCCGUUUUUAGUUUUGUCCAUUAUCAAUUUGGGGAUUUUUAAUGAAAAUUUAACGCUUUUCAGACAACAUUGUAUUGCCUGGUCAGACGUCACUGAUGUGAUUGUAUAAAAGUGAUGUUGGUUAUGUUUAAAAAAAUACAUCGUUAGUCAAAGUAAUUUUUUUUUCUGUAUAUAAAAAACAACAACAAAAAACAACAACAACAAAAACCGUACUUCCCAUUAGAUAAGCAUACACAUUUGUGUUAUUAAAAGCAUGAAGCAAAUAAAACCGUUAUACCCGGUCACAUAUUCACGAAAUACGCCCACGGAAGAGCCACAGAUUAAUUGGAGAGGUCAUCAGACCUCUCCACAGUCUUCAAUAAGUCGAUAACAGAGACCUGCAUGCAUACUUCUGUUUUUCAAUCUAGAUGCUCGUAAUAAUUUGCUAGAGUUUUGUAGUGAAUGGAUCUCAUUUAAAGCGUAAAACAAGAAAAGCAUUGAUGCAAAGCAUCAAAGGGUGUCCAGGCAAGAGAAACAGCAAGUGAAGAUGAACUGUAAGACAUCUGAUGACCAGAUAUUCUUAUAAACUUUUCAAUGGUUAAUUGUUUUUACCAGAAUUAAUUAUUAUUUAUGAAUCGGCGGACGAAAGACACUGUUCAUCAGGAACUUUUGUAGGCAUGCUAGAGAUUAGAAUUAUUUUUUUUUCCACAGGAACUUGAAAUUAUAUCAAUAUUAACGAUAAUUUUCAAAAUAUUCAGGUGUAUGAUAUACAAUAUAUACCCCCUAUAUAAUAUAAGUUUAUUUAUACUAUAUAGGGGGUAUUUUUGGAUAUUAUCAUUAAUAUUGCUUAUUUGAUAUAAUUUCAAGUUCAUGUGGUAUUUUCUUUGGAAUAUACAAAAUAGUAGUCAAAAUGAACAAAGUCUGUUAAUAAUUGGAAGGUCAUUCAACCAUUUGAAUGAAUUACUUCAAAAACCUCGUCUGACUCAUAACAACUUAUGCUAAAAUUGCUGAAAGUUUCUGUUGUUAAAAUGUCACAAUAUUCGGCAAAUCAACAUUCCACUCAAACUUUCAUUUAAACAAAAUAUAGAACAUCAGAAGUUUUUCUUUAGAUUUUAAAAGAGUGCAAUUGAUUGUUUGAAUAUGUUUGCAUUUCAUUUACUGCAAAAUUCGCCUGUUCGUUAUUUAUUACCAUACUAUAACGCGACAUGAACGACCAUUUCGUUAAACAAAAAAAAAACUACUUCUAUAAAUAGAUUUUCGGACUUUCACAAUGUUAAGGUAAUUAUUCUAUUUAUAGCUUUCGGAUUCAUGUACAUCUACAAUAAAAUACAUAAUUACCCACUGUGUACUACAAAAUGAUUAAUAAAAAAACGAACAGAACGCAAUUUAACAACGAUAAAGAUAGUUUCAUUUUAAUAUGUUUGCAUUGCAUAAUUCGCCAGUUCGCUAUUCAUUGUACAUAUCGGAACAUGUCACUUUUAACAAGUAAAAUGGUUUCCUGCGGGGAACAUUUUUAAUGAUAUAAAGAUAUUUAAUUUAACUAUUUUCAACAAUGUUUUGGGGGAUAAAUAAACGUUUGUAUCAGGAAUAUAGUUGACAAUAAACGAUCAAUAUAGAAGUAGGUCUUUGAAAACUGAUGACCGUUGAAGGUUGAAUAUAAAACAAUUAUUUCUGUUUAAGAAAAUUAUUAAAUAGGACUACCAUUUUAUGAAUAAUUUCGAGCAAAAAAAAAGUAAACACACAAAUUUACGCAAAAAAUAUCUCUAUCUAUUAAUUAUGGCAGAUGCCACUACGUAUAUUUUAAUCUUGUAGAUUUUCAGUAUAAACAAUUUAUUGUUUGUAAAAUUUGAGAAAGAUACUAAAGAAUCAUUGAAAAUUUCAAACACAUCAUCCAAGUUUCUCCACCUUAAACGGUAAAAUAAUUAUAGAAAAUUAGAAAUAUCACGUUAUAGCUUUUUGUUCUUAAUUAAGUGUAAUUCGGACUAAUUCCCUAGCGGUAAAUCCGUAACAUACCGGCAAACGGUAUUUAGCUAGGUUUUCGAAAAGGUCAAUUAACCAAUCAUGUCAGGUUUACAGAUCACAUGCUCCUCCAUGUACCAAAAACAGGUCACGUGCUCCUCCAUGCCUCAAAAGUUAAACGCGUACCAAUACCCUGCGGUCUCCAGACCGCAGGGAAUAAUCAAGUACCAUUCGGAAUUAUCGGCUAUUAUGAUCGAGAAAAGGCCCGAGAAGUUGCAAUUGCCCUUUCACAAAAUCUGAUUUCAUUCCAUAAGAGCGUCGCGUUCGGCGCGGAUGCCAAUCAUUAUGGCGGCAUCCAUUUUUGUGUAUCUGAUUGUACUGAAUGAAUCUCAUGUAAAGCGUAAUAUCAUUACCCAGCAGGCACUCAACGUUGUUUCAACGUUGAAACAACGUUGAAAUAUGGUCGUGACGUUGUUCAACCAAUAUUCAACUAUGGGCGACCAUACGGAUAUAUUGCCAAUGUAUAUUCAACGUUGAUUCAACGUUGUUUAUUGUCGAAGUUUAACAUUUAGUUUUAUCAUUAUAUAAACUUUUAUACCACUAAUUUCGUGUCAUUAUUCCUUUAUUGAAUAAGUCUGUAAGUGAUUUUUAUCAGGAAAAUUUGCGGUACAAUCUUUUUCCGGAUAUUCAAAAUAAGCGCUUAAACAAAUGAAGUUGGAGAUAAUUUUUCACUUUCUAUUAACGCUUUUAAUAUUAGUAAAUAUGUUUGGUUGUAUGUUGUUUUUUUUUAGUUCUUUAUGAAUAAUAUUAAUUAAUUAAUUGAUAUUAGUCAAAACCCCGUUUAUAAAAUAACGCUGGUCAGGGGAAGUAAUUGUUGCGGUCCCUGAUUUUGUUUGUUGUCUAUGAUUAUCGUUCGUGGAAAUGGUGGCGCUGUUUCGAAAUUUAAAAAACAACACGAUUCGGCAAUUUAUUUGGAUUUCGGAGAUCCUGGUCCCGGCUGAAAUUUAGAGUAUUUAGAGUAUUGCAGCUGUAGCCAGUAUACCAUACAUUCAACAUGAAAAGGACUGUCAGGAUGCUGCAUAAAAUGGUCUAAGCUAGAGCCUAGAAUGAUAAUUUCUUGGGAAUAUGCUGCAAGUAACUGACGGGGAGCAGUUUUUCUUACCAAUCAUAGAAGCAGAAAGAGACAGCCAAAGAAGUACUCAAACACUUGACAUACCCAGAAAGAUCUAGAAGAAAAGAUUGGAACAGAUUGUAGCUUAAUUGUUAAACUAUUAAAGUGAAUUUAAGCUGCACUUGAACUGUAUUUUUGAAAUAAAAUAUCUGAAGUAUUUAAUAUUGUCUUGAUAUUUUGUUAAAAUAUGGUUACUUUGCUUUAUAUCCAAAAAAAAAGUAUGGUGGGUUUUCAACGUUGAAAUGACAUUGAAACUUCAACGUUGUACCAACGUUGAAGCUGCAACGUUGUAUCAACGUUGAAAUUUCAACGUUGUUUCAACUUUAAAAUCCGAAUAUAAAUCCAACCUCAUUUCAACGUUGAAAUCUGACCAUAAUUCAACGUUGAAACAACGUUGAUGUGCCUGCUGGGUAGGAGCAGUCUAUAAAAAUGGUUUUGCGCAUGCUCCGUUUCAAAAUACGACUUAACUUAAACGAAAAAUUAACAUCGAAGUGAACAAAUUGGUACAUAGAAAAAUCGGAAAAUAUGAUUUACGUUACUUAGCGCAACGUUGAUGUUUCAUUCAGUUUUAAUGUUUUAAAAUGUAUAAAUCGAUUACCAUAUUGUUUCUGAAUAGCGUUUUAAUAUUUCGUGUUUCGAUAAAUCGUACUGCCCCGGUCACAUAUUCAUGGAUAAUGCCACGGAAGAGCUACGGUCUAAUCGUUCACGGAUUACUACGGAAAGGUGAAAUUCCGUAGUCCGCUAUGGUUCCAGUACGGACACACAACGGUAUGAGUACGAAGUCCGACGGAUUUACCACCAAAGUCCCCCGGAGAGACACGGAUUGCUAUACGGACCGACACGGUUUAAUACGGAGCGACACGAAUCAGGACGGACGCACUACGGAUACACUACGGUCUGCUACGGUAUAAGCACGGGUUAGUACGAAUAAGUACGGUCUGAUACGGAAAAGAACGUAUUGAUACGGAGAAGAACGAAUUGCCACGGAUCUAUACGGACUUAAUACAUCCUUCCACAACCUCUUGCUUGCUCAUUUUCAAAAUGCCUCAAAAAAAAAGAACACCUAGAAAACGAAUUGCAGCGUUCAACGAUUUUGGCGCUGAGGAUUCAGCCUAAUCGCGUCCGAACCCCGAGACACAUCAGGUCCAAUUAAAGUGAAUUUCUUGAAGGACGCUGGAUCCUCAACAAGUUCGACCAUGAGAGCCUCAUACUAAACAUGAAGGGGUCUUCGUAAAAGCCCAUCUCUAGUCCACCAUCUCGUCUGUCUUCUAAUACCUGAUUAGAUAUGGACUAGUAACCAUUAAUGAAAAAUGUUGAUCAAUACUGCUUCUCUUUUAAUUUUAAGAUUUGCUGCUUAUCUUAAAAUUACAUUUAUUAUCGUGAUGUUUAUGUAAAAAGCUUGUUAAUUAAUCUUAUUAUCACUCAAGGGCCAGUGUCCGAGGCUUAUGAGACACUUCGUUUUAUGUACAUAUUUACUCCAUUUUUACGAUCUUAUGUUUGUAAAAUAUGUAACGUUAAAUGUUAUUCUAUUUCUUAUGAAUUUUAGUACGAUAUUAAUAUAAAUUUACUUCUAUGCAUGUCAUCAAGCAACUCGACCACUGCCUCCGCAUUCUCAGCCAUUUCAAUAUAAAGUUGCAGCCAGUAAAUGGCAAUUAUCAUUUAUCAAAUGUUUGUGCAAAUACAUAUGUCUGUUUUUAAAAAGAAGGUAGUAUUUAUACACUUGAAAAAGUACAUGAUACUUAAUUCAUCCGUACUAAACAGUGGUGGGCCGUGCCAUUCCGU